rnacentral:lncRNA from 1 species
AUUUCUGUAGAGCAGGUUGUUGCCCUGGAUGCCCAAAAUAUUGUAGCUGUUUCAUGUGGAGAAGCUCAUACGUUAGCGCUAAAUGACAAAGGCCAGGUGUAUGCUUGGGGUCUCGAUUCUGAUGGACAGCUUGGCCUGGUAGGAUCAGAGGAAUGCAUCAGAGUACCCAGAAAUAUUAAAAGUUUGUCAGAUAUCCAGAUUGUACAGGUUGCUUGUGGUUACUAUCAUUCACUUGCACUUUCUAAAGCAAGUGAAGUCUUCUGUUGGGGACAGAAUAAAUAUGGCCAAUUGGGUUUAGGUACUGACUGUAAAAAGCAAACUUCACCGCAGCUGCUUAAGUCUUUGCUUGGAAUCCCUUUCAUGCAAGUUGCAGCAGGAGGAGCCCAUAGUUUUGUACUCACCCUUUCUGGAGCUAUCUUUGGAUGGGGACGCAACAAGUUUGGUCAGCUAGGUCUUAAUGAUGAAAAUGAUAGGUAUGUUCCUAAUUUACUAAAGUCACUAAGAUCUCAGAAAAUAGUUUAUAUUUGUUGUGGAGAAGAUCAUACUGCUGCUCUAACCAAGGAAGGUGGAGUGUUUACUUUUGGAGCUGGAGGGUAUGGUCAGUUGGGCCAUAAUUCUACCAGUCAUGAAAUAAACCCAAGGAAAGUUUUUGAACUUAUGGGAAGCAUUGUCACUCAGAUUGCUUGUGGACGGCAGCACACUUCUGCUUUUGUUCCUUCAUCAGGACGAAUUUACUCUUUUGGGCUUGGUGGUAAUGGGCAGCUGGGAACCGGUUCAACAAGCAACAGGAAAAGUCCCUUUACUGUAAAAGGAAAUUGGUACCCUUAUAAUGGGCAGUGUCUACCAGAUAUUGAUUAUGAAGAAUAUUUCUGUGUAAAAAGAAUUUUCUCAGGGGGAGAUCAAAGCUUUUCACAUUACUCUAGUCCCCAGAACUGUGGGCCACCAGAUGACUUCAGAUGUCCUGAUCCGACAAAGCAGAUCUGGACAGUGAAUGAAGCUCUAAUUCAGAAAUGGCUGAGCUAUCCUUCUGGAAGGUUUCCUGUGGAGAUAGCCAAGUAAGAAAAGCAUUUUGGGCCAGGCACAGUGGCUCAUGCCUGUAAUCC